rnacentral:rRNA from 1 species
CUUAAUUGCCAGCAUUCAGUUGGGCACUUUAAAGAGACUGCCGGUGUUAAACCGGAGGAAGGUGGGGAGUGACGUCAAGUCCUCAUGGCCUUAUGCUUAGGGCUACACACGUGCUACAAUGGGUGGUACAAAGAGAAGCCAACUCGCGAGAGCGCGCCAAUCUCAAAAAGCCAUCCUCAGUUCGGAUUGGAGUCUGCAACUCGACUCCAUGAAGUUGGAAUCGCUAGUAAUCGCGGAUCAGCAUGCCGCGGUGAAUACGUUCCCGGGCCUU